UUGGCAACACGAAGGCGGUGUCCGGCUAAGACGAGCUGCUCACUCUCGGCAACUCCGAAGCGUCACUGGAUCCUCGUCAAAUGCCAGCGAUACGAAGACAGAUGCAGGGAAGUCUCAAAGACAUUUCAUGGCCUGCAGAAGCAAACAGCACAGAAUGUGGUCGACAUGUUUAGCUAACAGAUAGAUCUACAGUUUCAGAAGCCGAGACCCUCGCGCUGCGGGACAGAUUUCAUGCUCCUGAUCGUCACCGCACCAUCAGGGUUGAGACAAGGUUUGGACUGGGCCUGGAAUCCUGCAAGAACAACAUUUACAGUAUCAUUGGGAGUGCUGAUUAGACUUUUGAGGGACUUAUGAUAGCAGAGGCCAGUGUUCCUGAUGGCUAAAGUGCCCAUAAACAAUGUGUCUCUGUCUGGGCCUAACGUGUCUGGCGCUUGGAAGCAAAGUGAGAAGAAAUUUAUAAUCUUUUCAUAAAACUACAGUCAACAAGUACUCAUGAAAGGCAAGGCGCUGACAGUUUUAAUUUUUGUAAGUAAUGUAUUAAUUAUUGCUGUGCCUCACUAUUAUUUUCUUAAUCAGUUAUUCUUUUUAUAUGCUUCAAUUAAUCCACCCACAACCCAAUCAGUUUGUCUAUAAAAUGUCAGAGAAGAGUGAAAAAAUAUCCACCAUUAUUUCCCAAAGCAGAAGGUGAUGUUCAAAGUUAUUCAGUUUACGAUCGUAAAUCAAAGAAAAUCUGAAAAGCCUCAUAUUUUAGGUGCUAGCACCGGUAAAUGAUUGCCAUAUUUGUUUGAUCAAAUGUUAAAAUGAUUAAUUUGUUAUCAAAAUUGUUGUCCAUUAAGUCAAGUAAACAAUUCUGAUCCAGGCAAAAUGUGUUUGGGUCUCUUACUUUACACUCUUAAACAAAUGGCUGACAAGGAGCUGGAUUUUACAGGAAAAAAAACCUAACAAUGGAUGAGGUAUGAAAUCAUACAAUACAAAUUUUUUUUAAAAAAACCCAAUAAAAGUAGAAUUUUACAAUAA